ACAGCCCUGGAAGUAUCAUGGGAGGUGGCUACUGUGUCACAUGUGCAUCUGUAGGUGGCCGAGCAGAGAGAGGCUAUGUCUGUGCUCCAUGUUCUAACCUGUGAACAUCGGAGUGAUUAGUAGACUACCAUU
ensembl:snoRNA LOC120098700 small nucleolar RNA SNORA17